GUUGAAACACCACUUCCCAUAUGAUCACAAAAGUUAAGCAAUAUCAAGCCUGGUCAGUACUUAGAUGGGUAAUCACUUAGGAGUACCAGGUACUGUAAG